rnacentral:snRNA from 1 species
AAAUUUACCUGGCGCCGGGUUCAGGGUUAUCAAGAAUGCUCUAACCCCGGGUGGAGGCUCACCAUUGCAGCUCGGUGGGCUGAAACUCGUGACGGACCCUAAUCGGGGGCUCUCGGGCGUGUAGUUUUUGUCAGUGAGGAGGCCUCACGGUCCUCU